rnacentral:rRNA from 1 species
ACCUACGACUAGGACACAUUGGAAAGCUCGGGAUCCCGUCCGCUCCCCCCUAGAUAAACUAGUAAGGGCUAGAUUAGUAGUUGGGUCGGUGACGACUAGCGAAUCCCUGGUGUUGUAUGUU